rnacentral:rRNA from 1 species
AGAGUUUGAUCCUGGCUCAGGACGAACGCUGGCGGCGUGCCUAAUACAUGCAAGUCGAGCGGAGUAUUUCCUUCGGGGAAUGCUUAGCGGCGGACGGGUGAGUAACACGUAGGCAACCUGCCCUCAAGACUGGGAUAACUACCGGAAACGGUAGCUAAUACCGGAUAAUUUCUUUGUUCUCCUGAAGAGAGAAUGAAAGG